UUUUUUAUAAUAAGUUUUUUCUGCCCGGUGGUGUUUUUAACGGCCGCGGUAUUUUGACCGUGCAAAGGUAGCAUAAUCAUUUGUCUUUUAAUUGGGGGCUAGUAUGAAAGAAAGUUUGAAGCUUUAACUGUCUCUUUUUUAUUUUUGUAAUUUGCUGUUUUUGUGAAGAAGCAAAAGUUCUCAAAAAAAGACAAGAAGACCCUAUUAAGCUUUUNUCUUUUUGUUUUUAUUCGUUUGAAUAUAAAAACAAAAAGANUUGGUUGGGGUGACUAAAGAAGAAAAAUUUAUCUUCUUUUUUAGAAAUAACUAGUUGUUUAAUGAAGACCCAAAAUUUUUUGGUUGUACGAAUUAGUUACUAUAGGGAUAACAGCGUUAUCUUUUCAUAAAGUUCUUAUUGAAGAAAAGGAUUGCGACCUCGAUGUUGACUUAUUUUAUCCUAUUAAGGUGUAGAAGCUGUGAGGGUUAGUCUGUUCGACUAUUAAA
rnacentral:rRNA from 1 species